UACGAAGGGGGCUAGCGUUGUUCGGAAUUACUGGGCGUAAGGCGCGUAGGCGGCGUGUCAAGUCAGGCGUGAAAGCCCCGGGCUCAACCUGGAACCGCGCUUGAGACUGGCAUGCUCGAGUUCGGGAGAGGAUGGUGGAAUUCCCAGUGUAGAGGUGAAAUUCGUAAGAUAUUGGGAAGAACACCGAUGGCGAAGGCCAGCCAU
rnacentral:rRNA from 1 species